rnacentral:sRNA from 1 species
AUUCUGCCCAUGCGGGGAAGGAUGAGAAGCUUCGACUAAGGUUCGGCUCGAGCGUCAGCGAGAGAGCGUUGCCGUAGGCAACGACCCGAAGGGCGAAGCGCGCAGCGCUGAGUAAUCCUUCCCCCACCACCA